GAACGCUAGCUACAGGCUUAACACAUGCAAGUCGAGGGGCAGCAUGGUCUUAGCUUGCUAAGGCCGAUGGCGACCGGCGCACGGGUGAGUAACACGUAUCCAACCUGCCGUCUACUCUUGGACAGCCUUCUGAAAGGAAGAUUAAUACAAGAUGGCAUCAUGAGUCCGCAUGUUCACAUGAUUAAAGGUAUUCCGGUAGACGAUGGGGAUGCGUUCCAUUAGAUAGUAGGCGGGGUAACGGCCCACCUAGUCUUCGAUGGAUAGGGGUUCUGAGAGGAAGGUCCCCCACAUUGGAACUGAGACACGGUCCAAACUCCUACGGGAGGCAGCAGUGAGGAAUAUUGGUCAAUGGGCGAGAGCCUGAACCAGCCAAGUAGCGUGAAGGAUGACUGCCCCAUGGGUUGUAAACUUCUUUUAUAAAGGAAUAAAGUCGGGUAUGGAUACCCGUUUGCAUGUACUUUAUGAAUAAGGAUCGGCUAACUCCGUGCCAGCAGCCGCGGUAAUACGGAGGAUCCGAGCGUUAUCCGGAUUUAUUGGGUUUAAAGGGAGCGUAGAUGGAUGUUUAAGUCAGUUGUGAAAGUUUGCGGCUCAACCGUAAAAUUGCAGUUGAUACUGGAUAUCUUGAGUGCAGUUGAGGCAGGCGGAAUUCGUGGUGUAGCGGUGAAAUGCUUAGAUAUCACGAAGAAACUCCGAUUGCGAAGGCAGCCUGCUAAGCUGCAACUGACAUUGAGGCUCGAAAGUGUGGGUAUCAAACAGGAUUAGAUACCCUGGUAGUCCACACGGUAAACGAUGAAUACUCGCUGUCUGCGAUAUAUUGCAAGCGGCCAAGCGAAAGCGUUAAGUAUUCCACCUGGGGAGUACGCCGGCAACGGUGAAACUCAAAGGAAUUGACGGGGGCCCGCACAAGCGGAGGAACAUGUGGUUUAAUUCGAUGAUACGCGAGGAACCUUACCCGGGCUUAAAUUGCAGAUGAAUUACGGUGAAAGCCGUAAGCCGCAAGGCAUCUGUGAAGGUGCUGCAUGGUUGUCGUCAGCUCGUGCCGUGAGGUGUCGGCUUAAGUGCCAUAACGAGCGCAACCCUUGUUGUCAGUUACUAACAGGUUCCGCUGAGGACUCUGACAAGACUGCCAUCGUAAGAUGUGAGGAAGGUGGGGAUGAUGUCAAAUCAGCACGGCCCUUACGUCCGGGGCUACACACGUGUUACAAUGGGGGGUACAGAGGGCCGCUACCACGCGAGUGGAUGCCAAUCCCCAAAACCUCUCUCAGUUCGGACUGGAGUCUGCAACCCGACUCCACGAAGCUGGAUUCGAUAGUAAUCGCGCAUCAGCCACGGCGCGGUGAAUACGUUCCCGGGCCUUGUACACACCGCCCGUCAAGCCAUGGGAGCCGGGGGUACCUGAAGUGCGUAACCGCGAGGAGCGCCCUAGGGUAAAACUGGUGA
rnacentral:rRNA from 1 species